GCCUAAAUGGCUUGUCGCAGCAGAUACACAUUGCAUGACGCCAGAGUCGAGACUUUGAGAAGUGAGCAGCCUGUGGGCAAACGACCCACAACGGCAUACGCACAGCCGCUUCGCAUGGGCACACACCAGCGCGGUCUUUCUUCUUUUCGUGGUUUGCUGUUGAGAACAGCACUCGUUGCGGAACCUCUCUCUUCAUCAACUCUGAUGGCCUCCGUCGAUAUCCGUCCCUUGGCUUGAGGUGGGGGGCUGCCUACCGUGACAGCCGACUUUGCACGCAGUUCAAGCGUGCGACACAACACCGAAUCUGUCCACCUCGCACGAUGUUUUUUUUUUUGCAGCAAAGGUGAACCUCGAGCGACGACAAGGCGCGCCUGCUCUUGAUCGCUUGCUGCACCAUCCUCUUAUUGCUGCUUGCGUGCCUUUGGUACUCGUGGCGUGAGCAGUAGACAGAGGAGUAUGAGGGGUUCACGAAUAAAAAAAAACCAUUAGCUCAAGGGAGGCGAGCCGGGCCAUUUAUAGGCAGUGAAGGAUUCCGUGUGUGUGUCGCGGCUGAUCGUGGUUUGUUCGGGCAGCGGAUGACGCGAGAUGCGCAUGUGCCGUGUUUGCCUUCCGCUGAUGCAGCUUCUGCUGUAGUCUGAGCAGCAAGGCGAACCACCGCGGGAGAAGUAUGUGGUGCUGCCGGACUGCCGUAGGAGCGAGCACGCAAGGCGGUAAGGAAUGUGGCAAGCAAGCAAAGUGACCCCCUAAAACUCGCCACGGCUAACCGACUCGCACAACGCAAGCGUCAGCUCGGUCUGGUGAGUUCGCGUGAGUGGACUGUACUUUGGUUGACGGACUCUCCUCUCUUUGAUCGCUCUUAAAAGGCUCGUCCAGGUCGUCUUCCCACCGUCAUAUUGAUCCACUUCUCCUGUUGUUCGCUUCACUGCGCACCACCACCACACACACACACACACACACACAAUGCAAUAUGCGUUUCCGCGACACACUCAG
rnacentral:misc_RNA from 1 species